ensembl:lncRNA
GGAAAACUAAUAACCAAAUUAUUAUCCCCUUGAGGUUUGUGCGGUAUUAUUUUACUGUGUGCAAUCCUGUUUUGUUUAUUAGGCUACAUAUACACCAGGGCAGCAUUUCUUGAGCUUUCUGGCACUUUGAAAGCAAGUGACGGUCUUGCAUGAUGGCAGCGUGAGAAGCAAUUAUGUGAACUCUGAAUACCAGUUGGGCAAGCUUCCCACAUUAUAAAACACGUUUCAGUUCAGAACCAGGGGGAAGAGCUGCAUCCUGCCAUCUUAACUCUGCCUUCAAAUAAGGUUACUUGCACUGUGCUCCAGGAAAACCCAUUCUGCUUAUCAUCUGCAGGAAUCCCUGGCUGAAGUUCUCUGACCUCUGUGACACAAAGGUGAGACCGGAUGAUCAAUCUUCCUUAAUCCUCAAAAGCUAUAAAUAGGAAGGGAAUGAGCAAUUCACUGUGAUCUGAGCUGUUCUGUUAUCUAUGCACAAGCCCCAGUAUACAUGGCUCUGCACUUCCUAAAGUGCCUCAUAAAAUCCUGCAUUUAUUAUAUGUGUCUGUAUUGGGUGUAACUGAACCAGCAUGAAGAGUGGUUUAACAACAUGUACAAACAAGACCAAGCUAUGCAAAUCACAGUUCCUGCAACCUCUUUUGAGCUGUACUGAGAACAGGGAGGAGCAAUAUACAAUAAAGGGUGAAAAGUCACAUCAUUUUUUUCCUACUCUCACUUGUACUUUUCAUUAAAUAAUUCAUAUUGUGGAUUAGUUCUGGCUGGUGGAUACAUUUUGGUGUAUCAUAAGCCUGAGAGGAUGUCUGACCUCUAUUCAGAUAAUGAAACAGGCAUAACAAACAUGUCUAUUGACCAGAUAUCUGCACUGCAUUCAUUAAUUUCAGAAAUCCAGCCCCAUAAAGGUCAAAUGAAUGUCUGAAGACAGGAGGAAGGUGGAGGCACUGAGGAUGUCAAGAUGUGCAAGAGCUGUCAAGCACAGGAGGUGUGGACAGCCUGUUUUGGCUCUCUUGCCAAUCUAUUACUCCAUACAUCAGUGACAGCAAUG